rnacentral:rRNA from 1 species
UAGGGAAUCUUCCGCAAUGGGCGAAAGCCUGACGGAGCAACGCCGCGUGAGUGAUGAAGGUCUUCGGAUCGUAAAACUCUGUUAUUAGGGAAGAACAUAUAUGUAAGUAACUGUGCACAUCUUGACGGUACCUAAUCAGAAAGCCACGGCUAACUACGUGCCAGCAGCCGCGGUAAUACGUAGGUGGCAAGCGUUAUCCGGAAUUAUUGGGCGUAAAGCGCGCGUAGGCGGUUUUUUAAGUCUGAUGUGAAAGCCCACGGCUCAACCGUGGAGGGUCAUUGGAAACUGGAAAACUUGAGUGCAGAAGAGGAAAGUGGAAUUCCAUGUGUAGCGGUGAAAUGCGCAGAGAUAUGGAGGAACACCAGUGGCGAAGGCGACUUUCUGGUCUGUAACUGACGCUGAUGUGCGAAAGCGUGGGGAUCAAACAGGAUUAGAUACCCUGGUAGUCCACGCCGUAAACGAUGAGUGCUAAGUGUUAGGGGGUUUCCGCCCCUUAGUGCUGCAGCUAACGCAUUAAGCACUCCGCUUGGGGAGUACGACCGCAAGGUUG